GUGUAGUUUCUCAAGUGCCGGAGGGUUGCAUUUGGGACAAAGGCUGAUGUAACCUGCUUGUACCUUGUCUUUGGAUGACACAAAUACCCGGAACCUCAUACUAUUCUCUUCCACAGGUCUUGCGGAGUAUCCUUCCCAAGUUGCGUGGAUGUGAAGGGACACGACAGUUCCCCUGAUGUACCAUGGGCGACCUACUUGUGAUGUGGACCUGAACCUCCGCCAUGUAGCAGACAACCCCCCUCAGAUCUUGCGGCGUAUCCUUCCCAAAUGGUGUGGAUGUGAAGAGACAUGACAGUUCCCCUGAUGUACCAAGGCAUGGGCGACCUACUUGUGAUGUGGACCAGAACCUCCGACAUUUAGCAGACAAACCCCCUCAGGUCUUGCGGAGUAUCCUUCCCAAGUUGCUUGAAUCAUCAUGGAUGAAAAGGGACACGACAGUUCUCCUGCUGUACCAUGGGCGACCUAACACAAUACCACUGCAUCUCAUAUAUUACAUUUUAUUUACUAAUAAUUUAAAGA